rnacentral:rRNA from 1 species
GACGAACGCUGGCGGCGUGCCUAACACAUGCAAGUCGUGCGAGAAAGUUCCUUCGGGAGCGAGUAAAGCGGCGCACGGGUGAGUAACACGUAGGUAACCUGCCCCCCAGUCUGGAACAACUAGAGGAAACUCUAGCUAAUGCCGGAUGAGACCACGAUCCCUUCGGGGGUUGCGGCCAAAGAUGGCCUCUACUUGUAAGCUAUCGCUGAGGGAUGGGCCUGCGGGCCAUUAGCUUGUUGGUGAGGUAACGGCUCACCAAGGCUGUGAUGGCUAGCUGGUCUGAGAGGAUGACCAGCCACACUGGGACUGAGACACGGCCCAGACUCCUACGGGAGGCAGCAGUGGGAAUAUUGCGCAAUGGGCGAAAGCCUGACGCAGCGACGCCGCGUGGGUGA